rnacentral:tRNA from 1 species
AGGGCUGUAGCUCAGUGGUAGAGCACUUGCCUAGCAUGUGAGCACCCUGGAUUUAUCCUCAGCCCUG